rnacentral:rRNA from 1 species
UAGGGAAUCUUCGGCAAUGGACGAAAGUCUGACCGAGCAACGCCGCGUGAGUGAAGAAGGUUUUCGGAUCGUAAAACUCUGUUGUUAGAGAAGAACAAGGACGUUAGUAACUGAACGUCCCCUGACGGUAUCUAACCAGAAAGCCACGGCUAACUACGUGCCAGCAGCCGCGGUAAUACGUAGGUGGCAAGCGUUGUCUGGAUUUAGUGGGCGUAAAGCGAGCGCAGGCGGUUUCUUAAGUCUGAUGUGAAAGCCCCCGGCUCAAUCGGGGAGGGGCAUUGGGAACUGGGAGACUUGAGUGCAGGAGAGGAGAGUGGAAGUCCAUGUGUAGCGGUAAAGUGCGUAGAUAGAUGGAGGAACACCAGUGGCGAAGGCGGCUCUCUGGUCUGUAACUGACGCUGAGGCUCGAAAGCGUGGGGAGCAAACAGG